AGGUGGUGCAUGGUUGUCGUCAGCUCGUGUCGUGAGAUGUUGGGUUAAGUCCACAAUGAGCGCAACCCUACGUUUAGUUGCUAACGCGUGAAGGCCCGAGCACUCUAGACGAACUGCCGUUGACAAAACGGAGGAAGGUGGGAUGACGUCAAAUCAUCAUGCCCCUUAUGUUCUGGGCUACACACGUGCUACAAUGGCCGGUACAGACGGACGCAAAGCCGCGAGGUGGAGCAAAUCCUAAAAAGCCGGUCUCAGUUCGGAUUGCAGGCUGCAAUUCGCCUGCAUGAAGUCGGAAUCGCUAGUAAUCGCAGGUCAGCAUACUGCGGUGAAUACGUUCCCGGGCCUU
rnacentral:rRNA from 1 species